rnacentral:rRNA from 1 species
UACAGAGGGGGCAAGCGUUGUUCGGAAUUACUGGGCGUAAAGGGCGCGUAGGUGGCCUUCUAAGUUGAACGUGAAAUCCCAAGGCUCAACCUUGGAACUGCCUUUGAUACUGGGGAUCUUGAGUCCGGGAGAGGUGAGUGGAACUGCGAGUGUAGAGGUGAAAUUCGUAGAUAUUCGCAAGAACACCAGUGGCGAAGGCGGCUCACUGGCCCGGUACUGACGCUGAGGUGCGAAAGCGUGGGGAGCAAACAGG